AGCGAACGCUGGCGGUAUGCUUAACACAUGCAAGUCGAGCGCGAAAGUGACUUCGGUCAUAAGUAGAGCGGCGGACGGGUGAGUAACACGUGGAUAAUCUGCCUUUAGGACUGGGAUAACCCUGGGAAACUAGGGCUAAUACCGGAUAAGACCACAGGUUCCAUGGAACCAGGGGUAAAAGGCGGCCUUCGGGCUGUCGCCGAAAGAUGAGUCCGCGUCCCAUCAGGUAGUUGGUGAGGUAACGGCUCACCAAGCCGAAGACGGGUAGCCGACCUUAGCGGGUGAUCGGCCACACGGGGACUGAGACACGGCCCCGACUCCUACGGGAGGCAGCAGUGGGGAAUCUUGGGCAAUGGGCGCAAGCCUGACCCAGCAAUACCGCGUGAGGGAUGAAGG
rnacentral:rRNA from 1 species